AAAAUUUCGCACUUUGCUCGCAAAAGCCCGUCCGCGAACCGGCAACAUGUUCUAUGUAUGAUAUCACGGCCAGUUCGCCUCGGAGGCGGGCCGUAGCAGCUGCUGUUCACGCCUGUGCUUCUCUCAAUGACCACUCUCUCUCUGAACACACGGUGAACUGAUGUGAUUCGAACCGCCCCUGUGCAACAACGUUAAACGCCAACUGAGUCAAUCGAUAGCAGUCUUGGAUCCUUCAAGUGUCGGCUACGCGCCACGAGGAAGUCGGCGUUCAAGAAAGCCAGGCUCCAACACGGAGGUGUGGAAACCUCGGCGCGCUCUCUCAUUAAUUUGUCACGCAAUUUAGGCCCCCGCUUCUGUCUAUUAGUCAAGACAUGUUUUAUGCAAAGAACUCGUCCGCCGCUGCUUUCGACGUGUGCUCGCUCGACAAAAUCGGCUGGCGCUUGCCUAGUGACAAACGAAGCGAAACUUCAUCUGCAUUCCUGUGUGCUCACAUUCCGCUACUGAUAUUGCAGUUUCACCUCAUGUUGCCGUGUUUACUAGCACGGAGGCGUCUGCGUUUCUAUUAGUAGAACGUGAAGAAAAACAAUGUGCAAGUUUCCGGCGAUGCAGAAUCAAAAAUAACAAAGACGGUUAAGAGCA